CGAGGACUCGGGGCUGGGGAAAGCUGGGAGCAGUCUGGAGGUGGGGACGGUGGCGACAACCCUGCGAUGGCAUCACAGCUGUCUCAGCCUGUGGGUGCACCGUGUUGGUAUCACCCGUGGGUGUCCUUAUCACCCUGAGCAACCGCACACAGACAAACAUCGAUGCCGAGGAUGAUAGGGCCAGGGGGAGGAAGGGCACAGAUGGUAAAAAUGAGCCACACUCCCCCAAUUCCUCCUUUCUCCCCCAAAACGCCAAGAGAUUAUCUUCAUUUUCCACGAUGAGCUGUCCUGGGAGCCUCGGCAGCACCCAGCAGUGGGAGGCUGAGCACCCAAGGAGCACAAGUGGGUGACGCCGGGGCCGGGAGGUGACUCACGGGGACCCUGUGCCAGCGCAUGAGGCCCUUUGACAGCUGCUGAGGUCCGAGCUCCUCCUCACCUCCUGCGCACUCAUCUCUGCCCCUUCCGAGCGGCCGGAAAAGUGUCACAGCCCCGAGUCAUGGGGCAAGAGAGUGCAGGCAAGGGGACAGAGGGGCGAGGGGACAGAGGGACAGUGUGGUGCUGGGGUUAAUAAUCCACCGCUGCCUGAGCAGGGUGAGCCCAGCACCCGCCUCUUUGUUUUUGGCAGGGAAGUGGCUUUGGCUGCUCCUCCCCUCCCGAACCUGCUGAAAUCCCUGAGUCAUGGGGCUGAAAGAGGGACACCAAGAGCGGUGGCAGGUGACAGUGGUGGCAACACACCUCAUGCCCAAAGCAUGUGGGCAGGCAAAAUUGAGGGCCCAAAGUCAGAGCUCCUCCCGACCUUAAUCCUUGCUCUCAGGAAGCUGAAGGUGACACCAGUUGGGCAGCUUCAGCCACUCCCUCUCUUCCCAUCCCAUCUGGGAACCGAAGCACCUCCCAACCCAUGCCUCAUUUUGGGAAGCUUUUUUUAGGCCAGCGAGCACCACCGUGGGGGCUAAAUCCUGCAGCCCAUCCCAGUCCCCUGGCUGCAAGCAGGGAAAGUUCUUUCCAGAAAGAAAGUGCAGCGAGCUCCUGAUGAGUUCCUUCCCCUGUGAUUCACCGGCGGCAGCGACCUUCUUCCUGCAGCUGGUGGCAGUCUCCGCAGGAGCCAGGACCGCGGGACCGCGGGGCCCCCCCGGCACGAUCCGGGCCGGAGCGGUGUGUGCCCAGGCUGGAAAUCCCCGUGGGAAGGUCCCCAGCUGGUCCCUCGAGGAGCAGAGGAAUGUGGGUGGCCCUUUGCCAGCCACGGAGAUUCAGGAUGUCAGAAUGAAGCUGGAGCCUUCA